UAAGACGUAGGGAGCAAGCGUUGUCCGGAAUUACUGGGCGUAAAGAGCUCGUAGGCGGGACCGUAAGUCCGAGAGGAAAUCUCAAGGCUCAACUUUGGGGCUUUCUCGGAUACUGCGGUUCUUGAGGAUAUCAGGGGACAGUAGAAUUCUCGGUGUAGCGGUGAAAUGCGUAGAUAUCGGGAGGAAUACCAGUGGCGAAGGCGACUGUCUGGGAUGUUCCUGACGCUGAGGAGCGAAAGCGUGGGUAGCAAACGGGAUUAGAUACCCCGGUAGUCCACGCCGUAAACGAUGGAUACUAGGUGUGGGAGGUAUCGACCCCUUCCGUGCCGACGUUAACACAUUAAGUAUCCCGCCUGGGGAGUACGGUCGCAAGGCUG
rnacentral:rRNA from 1 species